GUCCCUGUAGCGCAAUGAAUAGCGCUUUGGACCUCUAUUCCAAAAGUCGUGGGUUUGAAACCCCCGGAGAUG
rnacentral:tRNA from 1 species